GUGUGUGCUUGUGAUGUCUUUGUUUGUCAGAGUCCUUAAUGGGAAAGAAAAAAAAAAAACACUGGCAUUUGUUUUUUGUUGUUGAUUUGUUUGAAAAUUUCCUUGGAAAGGCUUGCAUAGACUUAUGUGAAAGGGCGGAGAUGGUCUCCCCCCAUUUUGGCUCUUGCAAAUGGCUGGGGGUUAUUUUGGAAGUCGUUCAGAAGCUGAGAGGUAGUGUGUGGGUAGAUCUCGUGAAUUGUCCAAAUUCAUUAAAUGAAACUAUCUGCUGCUCAAGGAAACAGUCUUGGUGGCUGAAUCCCAUCAAAAACAGCCUUUCCCACCCCCAGACCUCCCAGGCCUCCCCUUAGCUGAAACAGGCUGUAACCUCUAGUUGGCUAAAUGAACAUGGGAGACAAAGACCCUACUGGAGAAGAGUGAGGUUGAAAGCCCACAAAGAAGUUCCACAUUUCCCCCAAUCCCAGGCCAGAGAAUACCUACCAUGAGAAGUCAGGAAGGGUUCCAGCUCUGGAGACACUGUACUUUUGACUAUUGGUCCAGCUGUGCUCUGCCAUCAGGAGUCAGGGCUGGGAGGACCUUCUCAUCCCACUCCAGGGCCCAAAUUUUCUGCCUCACCAUUUAAAGCUCUCCUUUUUGUUUUCAUUGUGCUUGCCUCCUUGGUGCCUACUAGAGAGAAGGAAAUACUUGUCCCUUCCAGUUGCUGGAGGCCCGAGAACCCCGGGUAGUGGGGAGGGUGGGGCAGAGACACAGAGAGUGACAUUGAACCAGCUGUCACUGUUUCUUCUGUGAGGUGCCUGAGCUAAUCGGGAACCAGAGUCCUUUCCCUCGCUUCCUCCUUCAGCCUCAGAUUUUCCAGGCCCUCCUUCCUGUCCUUGUUCCGGUGCCUGUUCUGAGGCUCUGGGAGUGGCCCUUUCCACAGUCUCUUACUUUCUAGCUGGCUUAGGUCAACAUAGAGCCUUCUGAGAGCUGCUGAGACUACUCUAGUAUUCCUCCUCCUGGCCUUUCCAUGGGGUCUCUAGGGCUUGCUACCCAGCCUGUCUGGCUGCUUUACAGCAUGCUCUUGGUAAGCCCACCAUUUCUUCAGCUAGAGGGCAAGACCUACCUACCUUGUAGUUCUUGGUGCCAGCAGCCUGGGAGAGGAUGGCACAACCACUGCCAGCCACCGAAGCUGGUAAACACACUCUCACACACCCUUCUCUUUCCUCUUUCAUUUAUGUGUGUGGAUGGUUUUACCUGGGUGUAUACAGUGCAUGCCUGGUGCCCAGAGUCCAGAAGAGGGUGUUGGACCUCUGAAACUGCAGCUACAGAUGGUUGUGAGGUCAUGCGGGUGCUGGGAAUUGAAUCCAGGUCCUCGCCGAGAGCAGCCAAUGUUCUAACUGCGGCGGCAUCUCUCCUCCCCCUCUUUAAUGCCUAGACUCACAAGGCAGAGCUUCGGAGAUUAAGUCUUUAUUUAUGGAUUUAAUAACUGCACAGAAGAAUGAAACGUAGAUGCUGGUGUGUAUCAUCGAAAGGGCAGCAGAGGGAGAAGGGAACAAGGGAGCACUCCCAGCCCCAGCUCACCAGAACCACCGACGGCCACCUCCCUUUGCAGAACAGUUCACGGGGCCUCUGGGGUCUACCCCCCUUGAAUAUUUGCCUCUCUGAGAACAGAUUCCCUGACCACAGCUCAGAUGCUCAUGGAGGAACAAGUCAGAUUCUCCUUUCUGGGCACUUUAGAAAUGACAGAUCAGAGAAUUUAGAUCUGGGCACUCUCCCUCUCCAAUUUAAAAAAAAAAAAAGUCUUCUGUUUGGAGAUGCUUUUGUCUACUGCAGAGAGAGGGUCAAAGCAAGUCUGCAGGCCAUUUGUAGAGAAACAGGCAGGGAAGAGGGGCUGGCCCUGGUCAGUGGUCACAGCCUGCUCACAGUCAUCUCUCUUGGGGGUCGGGGUGCACAGCACAUGCUACCUCAUAGGUCCCACAAAGUGUCUGAAUACCUCCUUGUUUCGGUUGGCUGGUUGUUUAAGCCAGAAUGACUGUGUUUGUUUCCUACAAUCCAGUGGCUUAUCUUCAUCCUGUCUCCCAACAAACAGUAGUUCCAUGCCUGAGCUUCCAGGAAAAGAGCCACGUCCCUGGAGGAUAGUCUCCCUUGAGCAUAAUCCAGGAAACUAACUAGAAUAACGAAAGAACCCGUGGCGGGCCUGUGACUCGCCCUGCCCAACCUCACUCAAGCCAUGCCUCCUCCAUGGUGCCUUCCACACAGCCAAGACUGUUAGCAUUCUGUCUAAGCUCCACCCCCACAGUUACCUGGCAACAGCUGGGUAUGCUCCGCCCCACAGUUACCUGGCAACAGACAACUGUGCCUGACACUGCUUGUCCCCUCCUCACUCUCUUGCUCUCUUGCUCUUGCCCUCUCCCCCUUCCCCAAUCCCCUUCCCUCCACGUGCUCAUGGCCGACCUUUACUCCUCUUCUACCCUUCUCUCAUUAACCCUCUCCACUUGGCAACCAUGUUGGCCUGGUGUGGUUUGUCCAGUCGCGAGCCGAGAUUUCUGCCCCAACAAAGACACUUGCUCUCCUGUUCUAUUCCUUCACGACUGUUACAGUUUGGAUCUUUAAAAUUUGUUUUGUUUUAUGUAAAUGGGUAUUUAGAUUGCGUGUUUGUCCGCGCAUCGUUUGCAUGCCUGCUGACCUUUUGAAACCAGAAGAGGGUGUUGGAGUCCCUGGAAUUUAAGUUACAGAAGGUUGUGAGCCACCAAGUGGGUGUCGGGAAGUGGAAACGAGUCUGGAAGAGCAGCCACUGAGCCACUCUAGUCCAUGCAGUUUGCAUCUUGAACGGCCCUGCAAAGUACUGAAGACUUGGUCCCCAGAUGAUGUCACUAGGAAGGGCUUUGGCACCUUCCUAGUUCAAGGAGAGCCUACUGCAGAACCCAGAGAAUGGAACGAGUAAAUGUUUAUGCAUAUGGACUUAGCGUUCACAGUACACCGUGAGCCUUUGAAUUCCCAGAAGAACACGCUAUCCCUGGAACUGAGAACCUGACUCAGGAGUGGCACGCUGUGGACAAGCAGGAGACGUCAUUCCAACCUGACAGACUGUCAUGAGAAUUAAGUGAAGAAAUCUGGAGCAGUAGGUCCAGGACCCUGCACACACAUCUCGUUAGAAUUGUCAUGUGCAGGGUCUUGGAAAAUAGCCAAGUGUUCAUGGUUUUCUUCUUGGAUCCUCACCGUAAUCUCAGGAGGCAGGCAGGUCCGACCAGAAGAAUUAAAGUCAUUUAAGAUUAUGUGGAUGAUCAUCAUGGGGGCUGGAAUCCGUCUUGCAGGUGUGUGCUGGAGUGUAAACAGCUGGAGUGUAAACAGCUGGAGGCCUGAGCUUGGGUUGAAUUCCUAUCUUUGCUCUGCCAUGAGCUAGCCCUGUGCUCCUGUGCAGAUCCUGUCUGUGUGCAUCAUGGGUAUUUCCUGUCUUACAGGUCAGUUGUGAGGAGUGGAUGAGCUAGUGCUAAUUAGACAUCCAGCAGAGCAUCCAGUGGGUGCUCAAUAAACGUUCAUGCCCAGGCUCAUGCCACUUGCUGUCUUGCUGUUGGGCCGUGUGUUGGUGGUCAUUUCUGUGGGGCGUUAUACUCCAUCUGUGCCACACCCACUCCAGUAGAGUCUGUGUGACCUGAAGCUCUUGUGGUUCGUUUCUGUCCAGAACAGAGGCCUCCUGGAGUUCCUGGCCGUCUCCCUGCAAAAAGAUGACAACUAGGGUCUAUGCUUGCGGUGGAGGUGCCUUCUGUGUUCUAGCCUUGGUGAUCUUAGCAACUUUAAGCCUGUCAACAAUAUCUGAUUUUAAGAACAUAGCAGGGUGGGAAGAUGGUCAUGUACCUUUAGAUGUCUCAGGAACUGAAAGUUCGGAGAUGGAAACGUCUCACACCAUCAUGAUCCUGAUAAACUCAACGGCCGCGAUGAAUUCAACUGCUGUACCCAUUAGCUCCCAGCAAAUAGGAGAGAAAUUAAUUGCAGCUACUAACAAUAUGACUGUUCCAGAAAAGCCUUUCCCCCGUUUUGGAAAAGUUUUGUUUAGCAUGAUUCAAAACAGUAAUGAUUCUUUUAAAAAGAUCAUAGACAAGUUCCAACAAGUUGAACAAAUUUAUCAAGAGUUAACCCUGUUUCCACUGAGAGUGGAAGUGAUGGCCCUUGUACCAGCUAUCAGUCAGGGAAGAAAGCAAAGGGGUCAUCUCUGUGCCUGCACCAAAUCUGCUAGAGAGGGGUGUGUGUGUGUGUGUGUGUGUGUGUGUGUGUGUGUGUGUGUGAGAGAGAGAGAGAGAGAGACAGACAGACAGACAGACAGAGACAGAGAACGUGUACAUGUGCAUAGGUGUGUAUGGUGUAGUUUCAUAGUUUUCCAAACCUGGCUUUUUCUGUCUACAUCAUUUUCUAAGAUAUUUCGGUUGUUCAGUGUGUGUCCCUGUGGUCAUCACUAUUGACUUUUUUGACUUAAUCCUGCUGUUGGUUUUGACAGAUCUUUUAAUACCAUUAUAGCUGCAUUUCCUCUUACAGAUGUUUAUUAUGGGCCAGGUGCACAUGACUUUUGUUUUGUGGCUGUUGAAUUUUUGCGUUUCAGACCUGCAGUUAUCAAAUGAGCUGUUCUCCAUCUCUCCUGACUACCUUUUCAGGAGAGAGGGAAUUAGUAGAGAAAGAGCAUAUGGUGGGAAUAAGGUGGUCUUUCUUUUUUAAAAUAAAUUUUAAUGUAUUGUUGUUGUUGUGUGUUAUGUAUAUAGUGUGGUGUGUGUGCGUGUGUGUGUGUGUGUGUGUGUGUGUGUACUUAUGGAGGUCAGAGGGGUUGGUUCUCUCCUUCCACCUUACUGAUAGAAGACUGCUUUUGUUUCUGCAAGCUCCCACUGAUUCUCCUGUUUUCCCAUUUGACCACAGGAGUGUUGGGAUUGCAGAUGGCACCACCACAUCCAGAGAUCAAACUUAGGUCCCAGGCUUGUGUGCCAGGUGUGCCAGGUGCUUUUAACCAUUGAACCAUGUCCACAGGCCUUCACAUAGCUCCUCUAGGUGACUGGAUCAUACAUCUGAGGGCUCUGGCUCUGCUCCUCAUUAGCUCCAUGACCUUGAACAAGAUGCCCACUCUUCUGUGUCUCACUUUGUUCACUUGCAGCCUGGGUGUUAUCACCAGGACUAGCAUCUCUCAGGACUGUUGGCUGUUAUGCUUUGAAGUGGAAUGUCCCCACAAGCUCACGCUCAUCACCUGCCCCUAGAUUGGACCACUCUCUGCUUACUAUUCUGUAGCCAUAUGAACAUGGCCCACUGGAAUGAUGAGCCCAGUACGUCUUUCCUCCCAUAAGGUGUUUCCGUCAAGUAUUUUGGCUACAGUGAUACAAAAGCAACUUUUAUGUUUCAAACCCUAAUGCAUGAAACAUCCUGAAGUCUUGGGAAGGGCUCUCAGAGAUCACCUGCUUUGGUGCCCUCAUUCUUUUGUUGUUGAAGCUGAAGUCCACAGAACCCUCUGAGGGCAGGGACCAUGCUUCAUCCAUCUUUCCUCAGACAGAAUCGGGUGCAUUCCAUGUGUGAAUGGUGUUUCGUAAAUGAGUUGAUAGCCAGAUUCCAGGGACAGAGGCGCAGUUUAACUUUCCUUGAUGAUUCAGUGGUUGCCAAGUUCCAUUGCAGUUGCCAUGCCACCACACUGAAACCCCGUCGGAACUAAUCACACCGUGUCCGGCAUGGCUUCAUGUGCUUCCGCUCUUCAGCACCGUGUUUCCUCCUGUCUCUCUCUCUGUCACCUGCCAGCCCUCCUUGUUAUCACGAGCUCGGUUUAGAGGACUUUCUCUCUCUCUUGUUUGUCACCAGCUGUCCACUCUCCUCUGGGGCAAAACUGGAGUGAGAAGGAUUUGAAGGAUUUAAAGUUGACAUGUAUGCCAGGUGUCUUUAUUGAUCACAAGAAGGAUGUGAGUUUUCCAGAGACAAAAGUGUCACCUGUUUUAAGCUGGAAGAUGCCUCAAAGUCACUUGGACCACCCUGUCCCUUCAAGUCCUGGGAAUGUAUCCUAGCUCCCACACUGUGUCUGGUUCCUUCUGCGUGUGGUAUUCAUUUGCUCUUGACUUAUGAGGCAAGCUGUGUGCUUUAUGAUGGUAACGGCUGAGAACACAACAGUUUCCAGCCCCUGGAAUCGCUACCCAGUGACCUGGAUUUGUAAGCAUUCUUCCCUCCCAGCACAGGGGAAGUAAUGCCCACAGAUGUGGGUCCCCCACUACUGUCUAAUUAUGACAUAGCAAUUCUGCUUCUCUUUCCUGCUCUGUCCUUCCCAGUCCUCUUUAGUCUUAAUUGAAGUGAAAUGUUUUU
ensembl:lncRNA